UGGGUGGUAAACUCCAUCCAAGGCUAAAUACUAACACGAGUCCGAUAGCAAACAAGUACCGUGAGGGAAAGUUGAAAAGUACUUUGAAGAGAGAGUAAACAGUGCGUGAAACCGCUCAGAGGUAAACAGGUGGAGUUGAACUGUGAUCUCUGUGGAUUUAGCUGGUGAGAAUGGCUUGAGCUUGGUCAAAUAUGUUGAGACCGGGAAUCUGCAUAACAGCAGGUCCUUGCCUUUUGGUGAGGAUGCGCGAGGCACUCAACAGGUGUUGCGCGUUCCAUGUUUUUCGUGCUAACUUGCCAGUGCAUUUUCGCAGAGUGGUCACCACGACCGGCAUCGCUGUCUUGUUGUUGCGGUUAAACCGGCCUUUCAUUGUCCCUGUGGCUUUGGAUUGUCGGGAUGGCAGGUAGCUCGUUGGCUAGGCUUGUGGCUUGCUGCAGGCUUCCGGCUCUCGGGUGUAAUCAGCUGACCGCAUCGGUAUUGUGCAGUAUGUCGGAGACGGCGGCUUGUGGUGUGUGCGUGCGUGCCAGUUGGCUAACGUGUCCGGGUUUGGUUAUUAUGUAGCCUGUGUUGGCAGGCCUAGUGAUAGCCCGGGUUCGUUCGGUCGGCGGUUGCGUGCGUGUCACUAUCCAGGGCCAAUAGU
rnacentral:rRNA from 1 species